rnacentral:lncRNA from 1 species
UAGGUUAGAUCUUUGUCAGGAAGUUAUAUACUAUGUCAUGUACUGUUAGGUUAGAUCUUUGUCAGGAAGUGUAUAUACUAUAUCAUGUACUGUUAUGGUUAGAUCUUUGUCAGGAAGUGUAUAUACUAUGUCAUGUACUGUUAUGGUUAGAUCUUUGUCAGGAAGUGUAUAUACUAUGUCAUGUACUGUUAUGGUUAGAUCUUUGUCAGGAAGUGUAUAACGGACAUGUACUGUUAUGGUUAGACUUUGUCAGGAAGUGUAUAUACUAUGUCAUGUACUGUUAUGGUUAGAUCUUUGUCAGGAAGUGUAUAUACAUGUCAUGUACGUAUGGUUAGAUCUUUGUCAGGAUGUGUAUAUACGAGGACAUGUACUGUUAUGGUUAGAUCUUUGUCAGGAAGUGUAUAUACUAGGACAUUUACUGUUGUGUUUAUGGUUAGAGCUUUGUCAGGAAGUGUAUAUACGAGGACAUGUACGUUAUGGUUAGAUCUUUGUCAGAAGUGUAUAUACGAGACAUGUACUGUUAUGGUUAGAU